rnacentral:lncRNA from 1 species
AAACAAAAUGCACUCUUCCUUCUCCCCUCCGCCCCCCCGUCCCCGCCCCUUUCUUCCUCUUCCCUCAUCUCUGUCACCUUCGAUUGGGCUAAAAGAGGCCCAAUCCGCUAUCUCAAACAUCCAUUGGGACGCGGAAACUUCGCUCAGAGAAGUAUUAACAGGCGAUUGGUGGACAAUCCUUCCACUUCGCCCACCCCCACAACCCCCUCCCCCCGCCGCACCUUCACCCUUUCUGAAAAGGUCAAUCGUAUCUCGUUGUUCAGUGAUCCGGGAGGUGGAAGGCUAUUGGUUCAGGGAGCCCGUCAGACCGGACUGGAGUGAGCCAUGAUUGGUCGACACAGGCGCAAUCAGAGUCAAGAAAACUUUGCUUUUGACUUAUUUACAGCUAGUCACAAUUGAGUGAAGUAUACUCCUGUAAACAAAUUUGGAUUUCUCUCUCUCAAUCUGAUUUCUCCAGAAUGUGGAAACUAUUUAAACAGACUGCAGAUUGAAUUCCUACAUAGGCUAUUCCAGAAUUCUUACGAGACUUGCAUUAGGACAUCAGCAACAGGUAUCAUCUAGUGAACUGUUCAGAUGCAACUGAAUUGAAAAGGAGCUGAACAAAAGAUCCUGAGAGAGACUUCAACAAAAAGUAAAAUGGAUUUUAUCAUACUUGAAAAAUCAACAAUUGCAGUCUGGAUUCAUACAUCACUGUCUGAUGCACCCAACUUGAGUCAAAAAGAUGUUUCAAAUCCCACUAGGCUGGAGGCAAAAAUACUCAAGAGUUUAAGAGCGUCUCUUGACAGUGUACAGAAUAAGAUAGCUUCUCAGCUUUCAGCUUUACUUCACGGUUUUAACUAUCAAAAGAAGCAAGCCAUCUGAAGAUUUGCCUGAGACUGAAGGAUCCACUUCUGCGACGACUCCCUCAGGACUUAUAAUGCAGAUGGAACCAGAUUGAGAAAAACCAGCCAACCAACCAACCAACAUGAUGGCUGAACCAGACAAGAGAAGUCCCGAAGUAAAAUACCCACCAAUUACCAGAAUCUGUGCCUGCCAUACAUCGAAGAAAAUUCAACAGCAAUACAAAUUAACCUUUGGAAAAUCUUUCCUGGGUUUUAUGUUUGUGUGAAAUGCCCCUUUACUAAACUGGAAGAUGUGUAAGAUGGAAGAAGAGGUUCUGCUGGAUAUGGAGAAAUUGGAACCCUUGUACAUGUGGAAAUGUAAAAUGGUGCAUUAGGAAAACAGUUUCAACGGUCCUCAAAGUGGUAAACAUAGAGUUACCAUAUGACUGAGAAAUUUUACUCCCAGGUAUAUACCCAAGAUAAAUAAAAACAUGUUCAUAUAAAACUCAUAUAUAUAUGUCCAUGGCAGCUUUAUUUAUAGUUGCCAAAAUGUCUCUUGUGACUGGCUUCUUUCACUCAACAUGAUGUGUUCAAGGUCCAUUAGUAUUGGAACUUAACUCGUCUUUAUUGUUAAACGAUAUUCCACUGUAUGGACAUAUCCUCAUUUUAUUUACCCAUUCAUCAGUUGAUGGACAUUUGGGGUUUUUCCAUGUUUUGGCAGUGUGUGCAUUGUGUGUGUUGUGUGAGGGAAAGGGAUAGAAUGAAAGUGAUAUUAAGAUUAAGUGACAUAAUGUAUGUAAUAUUUCUAGCAGAGUUCCUGGGACAUGGCAGAUAUGUUAUUAUUUUAUUACUAUUGUUAUAAUUUCCUUUAUCUAGGAGAGCACAGCUUCAUUGCCAGAUGUAACUUUUAUUUAGACUAAGGAAUCAGUUAAGAUAACCAUAAGAUACUCUUGGUCUUGAACUCUGCCAUGCCUAAACAAAAAUUAUCUUCUUUGCCUUGGAAAAUUAUUACUUUAGUGAAAUAAAUUGUUUUCUUUCUAAAUUUGCAAAGUAUUAUUUUUUACACUAUAAU